rnacentral:sRNA from 1 species
CUUGGGCGGAAUGAUGCAGGAAUUGGGAAAAGCCACGCGCGGCACGCUGCCGGCGUCGUGCUCAUAGAAACGAACGGCGUCUGGGCACGGCCGCCACGACAUGAAGGUAGGAAGACAUGCAGGUUAUCGAAACGCUCGCUGAAGGGCUGAAGCGCGAAAUCAAGGUCGUUAUCCCGGCCAAGGACAUGGAAGACAAGAUGAAUGAGCGUCUUGCCGAUGUGAAGGACAAGGUCCGCAUCAACGGCUUCCGUCCGGGCAAGGUCCCCGCUGCUCACCUGAAGAAGGUUUACGGCAAGUCGAUCAUGGCCGAUCUCGUCAACGAGAUCGUCCGCGAGCAGCCCGCCGCUAUCCUGUCCAGCCGCGGCGAGAAGUCGGCCACGCAGCCGGAAAUCGCCAUGACUGAGGACAAGGACGAGGCCGACAAGAUCCUCACCGCCCAGCAGGAUUUCGAAUUCACGCUGUCCUACGAAGUGCUGCCGCCGAUUGAGCUUAAGUCCGUCAAGGGCAUCAAGGUUACGCGCGAAGUCAUCGAUAUCUCGGAUGAGGAAGUCAACGAGCAGG